GUAGGUGGCAAGCGUUGUCCGGAAUUAUUGGGCGUAAAGCGCGCGCAGGCGGUCCUUUAAGUCUGAUGUGAAAGCCCACGGCUCAACCGUGGAGGGUCAUUGGAAACUGGGGGACUUGAGUACAGAAGAGGAAAGCGGAAUUCCAAGUGUAGCGGUGAAAUGCGUAGAGAUUUGGAGGAACACCAGUGGCGAAGGCGGCUUUCUGGUCUGUAACUGACGCUGAGGCGCGAAAGCGUGGGGAGCAAACAGGGAUUAGAUACCCCGGUAGUCCACGCCGUAAACGAUGAGUGCUAAGUGUUAGGGGGUUUCCCGCCCCCCUUAGUGCUGCAGCUAACGCAUUAAGCACUCCGCCUGGGGAGUACGGCCGCAAGGCUG
rnacentral:rRNA from 1 species